rnacentral:rRNA from 1 species
AGCGAACGCUGGCGGUAGGCCUAACACAUGCAAGUCGAACGGCAGCACAGUAAGAGCUUGCUCUUACGGGUGGCGAGUGGCGGACGGGUGAGGUAUACAUCGGAAUCUACUUUUUCGUGUGGGAUAACGUCGGGAAACUUACGCUAAGACAGCAUAUGACCUACGGGGAAAGGCAGGGGACCUUCGGACCUUGCGCGAUUGAAAGAGCCGAUGUCGGAUGAGCUAGGUGGCGGGGUAAAGGCACACCAAGGCGACGAUGCGUAGCUGGCAUGAGCGGAUGAUCCGCCAGCUUGGAACUGAGAAACGGCCCAGACACCGGCGGGAGGCAGCAGUGGGGAAUCUUGCGCAAUGGGGGAAAGGCGGAUCUAGCGAAACCGGGGGAGUGAAGAAGGAGUUCGGGUUGUAAAGCCAUGAUGUUCGGAAAGAAAAGAAGUUCUUUCACCGCGGGCUGUACUGACGGUACCCAAAGAAGAAGCCCCGGCUAACUUCGUG